CAUAACCAAACCACCAUUCAUGUCCUUGGCAAUCUUACAUUUUUAUCUCGUUCGACUAUUAACUUCAUUGUCGAAAUGCAAACAGUCGUCUGACCUUUUUUCUCGAUCGACGCAUUUGCCUUUUAAUAAGGUCUUUAAUGUGUAGCUGAUGUCUACAUGGACAUGGCGAGGUCGAAAGCCUGUUGACAAAUUUUUUGGGGUCAACAGAUUGACGCCGUGACUGCCGUCUGUGAGAAUCUAUACAUUAACCAUUGUAUUACUACAUUCCAAAAGCCACCGGAAAAUAUGAUUUUUCGAACAGUGGUCUACUGAAAAACCAGCAAAUACAGCAAUUAAAGAGGAUUUUGUUCUGCCAAAAAGUGGAAGAAGUUGGCCACCGAAAAAGAGGAACUUUCCGGGCAGUCCUCUACCAAAAAAUCAAGAAGUCAGCCACAACAAAGGGAGAAAAUAGAGCUAAUGGAAGCAUCCAAAAAUUUUGUUGAAAAAAAAUAAAGAAUUUCUGGCAAGAAGAUCGGCCAUGAAAACAGUCAACUGAAGCUGAAAAUAUUCUUAGUAUGUGUUCGAUAUAGCUUGGAAUUCCAUUUUCCAAUUUUACCUUGUUUGAUAGCAUUUCCUCCCUAGAAUUGGUUUUCCAACUAUCUUGCCACAUGGGCCAAAUUUCACAUUUUCCUUGAAUGGUGAGAAUUCCAAUUCUCAGUUAUUGUAGUGGUAAUUUUUUUUCUAGGCAAAAUGGAAACAAAUUCUAAGAAUUAUUGUAAAAAAAUAUUUUAUUUAAUUGAUAAUUUUCAUGUUAAACAAAGUCAAACGAAC
rnacentral:lncRNA from 1 species